UUUUGCAAGUCUACUUAUGUCCUGAACAAGCCCGAUCCCAUCUGAUCUCGGAAGCUAAGGAGGGUUGGGCCUGGUUAGUACUUGGAUGGGAGACCACCUAGGAAGACUAGGUGCUGUAGAUG
rnacentral:rRNA from 1 species